rnacentral:siRNA from 1 species
AACUCUUUCUUAUGUCUUGUU